AAAAAUAUUGGAAUGCUCUCUAGCUCUAAGAAUAUUGGAACGCUGUCUAGCUCUAAAAAUAUUGGAAUGCUGUCUAGCUCUAAAAGUAUUGGAACGUUGUCUAGCUCUAAAAGUACUGGAAUACUGUCUAGCUCUAAAAAGUAUUGUAACUCUUUCUAGCUCUAAAAAGUAUUGGAAUGCUGUCUAACUAAAAAAUAUUGGAACGCUGUCUAGCUAUAAAAAUAUUGGAACUCUGUCUAGCUCUAAAAAUAUUGGAACUCCGUCUACCUCUGAAAGUAUUGGAACGCUGUCUAGCUCUAAAAGUAUUGGAAUGCUGUCUAGCUCUAAAAAUAUUGGAACUCUGUCUAGCUCCAAAAGUAUUGGAACGCUGUCUAGCUCAAAGU
ensembl:lncRNA